GAAUAUUGGACAAUGGGCGAAAGCCUGAUCCAGCAAUGCCGCGUGAGUGAUGAAGGCCUUAGGGUUGUAAAGCUCUUUUACCCGGGAUGAUAAUGACCGUACCGGGAGAAUAAGCCCCGGCUAACUCCGUGCCAGCAGCCGCGGUAAUACGGAGGGUGCAAGCGUUGUCCGGAAUCAUUGGGCGUAAAGCGCGUGUAGGCGGCUUGGUAAGUCGGGUGUGAAAUCCCGGGGCCCAACCCCGGAACUGCAUUCGAAACUACCUCGCUAGAGUCCCGGAGAGGAAGGCGGAAUUCCCGGUGUAGAGGUGAAAUUCGUAGAUAUCGGGAGGAACACCAGCGGCGAAGGCGGCCUUCUGGACGGUGACUGACGCUGAGACGCGAAAGCGUGGGGAGCAAACAGG
rnacentral:rRNA from 1 species